AAGAGAGCACUGAUUCCAUUGUAGCGCGUACGCUCUCAGAAUCACUAUCUUUUACCACCUCAGUACCAUAUUGUCCAGCCUGAUCCAGGCUAUCAUACCAUAUAUGACAAGAAAUAGAAAAACAUUCCAAGCAAGCACAAUUUAGCAAAAAUAAACUAAGAAAGGAUAAAGGAAUGCAGUCAAUGGUUGGAAUUUCAUUAUAACACAAUGAAGAUAAUGCAAAACAUAAAGAAAGGCAAAGGAAAGGAAGGAUAUUUUAAAGGAUUAGCACAAAAAGAAAAGUUUCAUAGAAGUACUCACCUUGAAUUUUCAGAAGAGGCUAAGUCGGUAUAACUUGGAUACUGAACCUUCAUCUCUGCACUAGGUCCUCGCCAUUGGCCCCUAAGACCAUUAGGCCCUAAGAAUGAGUGUCUAGACAAUGUCUCUUGCUUGGGAAGAGGUAAACUAACAGAUAGUUUCUGCAAAGGCUUGUCAAUCUGCGCGGAGUUUGGAGAUGAAGCUUGAGUAUGAUUGUUGCCGUACUUCCAUGAAGAUUGGGGUGCCACAACAGAGGGCCGCUUAAUGUUGAUGCUUGAGUAAGAAGCUUUCUUAACAGAGGGCCAUUUUGAAGAAGAAGGCUCAGAACCAUAUAAAGUCCUUUCUGGGUCAUCAAGUUCAAGUAGUUGAGUUCUAGCAUAAGCUUUGUUCAGCUCGUCAACUUGACGUUGGAAUUCUGGCUUCAAAGCUU
rnacentral:misc_RNA from 1 species